GCUGGGCACAGUGGCGUGUGCCUGUAGUCCCAGCUACUCAGGAGGCUGAGGUGGGAGGAUCACUUGAGCCCAGGAAGUCAAGGCUGCAGUGAGCUGUGAUCACGCCACUGCACUCUAGCCUGGGUCACAGAGUGAGACCUUGUCUCAA
rnacentral:SRP_RNA from 1 species